AUACGGAGGGUGCAAGCGUUGUUCGGAAUCACUGGGCGUAAAGGGCGCGCAGGCGGUUUGGUAAGUCAGAUGUGAAAGCCCACGGCUCAACCGUGGAAGUGCAUUUGAAACUGCCAGACUUGAGUACCAGAGGGGAAAGUGGAAUUCCCGGUGUAGAGGUGAAAUUCGUAGAUCUCGGGAGGAAUACCGGUGGCGAAGGCGACUUUCUGGCUGGAUACUGACGCUGAGGCGCGAAAGCGUGGGGAGCAAACAGAAUUAGAAACCCUAGUAGUCC
rnacentral:rRNA from 1 species